UACGAAGGGGGCUAGCGUUGCUCGGAAUUACUGGGCGUAAAGGGCGCGUAGGCGGACAGUUUAGUCAGAGGUGAAAGCCCAGGGCUCAACCUUGGAACUGCCUUUGAUACUGGCUGUCUUGAGUUCGGGAGAGGUGAGUGGAAUGCCGAGUGUAGAGGUGAAAUUCGUAGAUAUUCGCAAGAACACCAGUGGCGAAGGCGGCUCACUGGCCCGAUACUGACGCUGAGGCACGAAAGCGUGGGGAGCAAACAGG
rnacentral:rRNA from 1 species